rnacentral:rRNA from 1 species
AUUGAUUUUAUGCUUGCAUAAAUGAUUUUUGGAUUCGGAGCGAGUGGCGAACUGGUGAGUAACACGUGGGUAACCUGCCCCGAAGCGGGGGAUAACAUUUGGAAACAAGUGCUAAUACCGCAUAAUUAGUUGGAACCGCAUGGUUCCAACUUGAAAGAUGGCUCUGCUAUCACUUUGGGAUGGACCCGCGCCGUAUUAGUUAGUUGGUGAGAUAAAAGCCCACCAAGACGAUGAUACGUAGCCGACCUGAGAGGGUAAUCGGCCACAUUGGGACUGAGACACGGCCCAGACUCCUACGGGAGGCAGCAGUAGGGAAUCUUCCACAAUGGACGAAAGUCUGAUGGAGCAACGCCGCGUGAGUGAUGAAGGUUUUCGGAUCGUAAAACUCUGUUGUUAAAGAAGAACAAGUGUUAGAGUAACUGUUAACACUUUGACGGUAUUUAACCAGAAAGCCACGGCUAACUACGUGCCAGCAGCCGCGGUAAUACGUAGGUGGCAAGCGUUGUCCGGAUUUAUUGGGCGUAAAGCGAGCGCAGGCGGUUUUGUAAGUCUGCUGUGAAAGCCCUCAGCUCAACUGAGGAAGUGCAGUGGAAACUACAAAACUUGAGUACAGAAGAGGAAAGUGGAACUCCAUGUGUAGCGGUGAAAUGCGUAGAUAUAUGGAAGAACACCAGUGGCGAAGGCGGCUUCCUGGUCUGUUACUGACGCUGAGGCUCGAAAGCAUGGGUAGCGAACAGGAUUAGAUACCCUGGUAGUCCAUGCCGUAAACGAUGAAUACUAGGUGUUGGAGGGUUUCCGCCCUUCAGUGCCGCAGCUAACGCAUUAAGUAUUCCGCCUGGGGAGUACGACCGCAAGGUUGAAACUCAAAGGAAUUGACGGGGGCCCGCACAAGUGGUGGAGCAUGUGGUUUAAUUCGAUGCUACGCGAAGAACCUUACCAGCUCUUGACAUCUUCUGCCAACCCAAGAGAUUGGGCGUUCCCUUCGGGGACAGAAUGACAGGUGGUGCAUGGUUGUCGUCAGCUCGUGUCGUGAGAUGUUGGGUUAAGUCCCGCAACGAGCGCAACCCUUAUUAUUAGUUGCCAGCAUUUAGUUGGGCACUCUAGUGAGACUGCCGGUGAUAAA